UGGGGAGAAGACAUUGUGUCUUCGAGUCGUUGAUUUCACACUGCCGAGAAAAGCCUCUAGAUAGAAAAUAGGUGCCCGUACCGCAAACCGACACAGGUAGUCAAGAUGAGAAUUCUAAGGUGAGCGAGCGAACUCUCGUUAAGGAACUCGGCAAAAUGACCCCGUAACUUCGGGAGAAGGGGUGCUCUUUAGGGUUAACGCCCAGAAGAGCCGCAGUGAAUAGGCCCAAGCGACUGUUUAUCAAAAACACAGGUCUCUGCUAAACCGUAAGGUGAUGUAUAGGGGCUGACGCCUGCCCGGUGCUGGAAG
rnacentral:rRNA from 1 species